rnacentral:rRNA from 1 species
AUUCCAGCUCCAAUAGCGUAUAUUAAAGUUGUUGCAGUUAAAAAGCUCGUAGUCGGAUUUCGGGGCGGGCCGGGCGGUCUGCCGAUGGGUAUGCACUGUUCGGCGCGUCCUUCUUUCCGGAGACCGCGCCUACUCUUAGCUGAGCGGGCGUGGGAGACGGAUCGUUUACUUUGAAAAAAUCAGAGUGUUUCAAGCAGGCAGCUCGCUCUUGCAUGGAUUAGCAUGGGAUAAUGAAAUAGGACUCUGGUGCUAUUUUGUUGGUUUCGAACACCGGAGUAAUGAUUAACAGGGACAGUCAGGGGCACUCGUAUUCCGUCGAGAGAGGUGAAAUUCUCAGACCAAUGGAAGACGAACCACUGCGAAAGCAUUUGCCAGGGAUGUUUUCAUUA